rnacentral:rRNA from 1 species
CCCUUAGAUGUUCUGGGCCGCACGCGCGCUACACUGACGAAUGCAACGAGCUUAUAACCUUGGCCGAAAGGUCUGGGUAAUCUCCAAAUUUCGUCGUGAUGGGGAUAGAUUAUUGCAAUUAUUAAUCUUCAACGAGGAAUGCCUAGUAAGCGCAAGUCAUCAGCUUGCGUUGAUUACGUCACUGCCCUUUGUACACACCGCCCGUCGCUCCUACCGAUUGAAUGGUCCGGUGAAGCGUUCGGACCGUGGCCUUUGGACGGUUCGCCGUCUGUUGGCUGCGGGAAGUUCGUUAAACCUUAUCAUUUAGAGGAAGGAGAAGUCGUAACA